rnacentral:lncRNA from 1 species
CUGGACACUCCCUGCAGGAAGGAAAUGUGCUUGUCUGCUCAUGGCUGAUUCAGGCCCCAGCAUGGUGCUGGGAACACAGUGGCUGCCUAAUCAACCAACUGCCAUUCCCUCUUUCUUCCUUGUUAAUGGAACCCAAGUUUUGUUCUGGUUCAGAGAGCUGAUUCUGUGGCCUCACCCUGGGGACGCACCAUGAUCUGGCCAUACCAUCUCCCUUUGCCGUUUGCCAUAGUGCUGCAUUCAGGAGCUUCUGUCCAAGACACAAAGCCUGGCUGGCCUGUCAUUUCUUAAUAAUCCAGCAAGCUUCCAGGACUGACUUCAUCCUUCUGUCCAUUCAAUCAUCCAUCCAUCCACUUACCCAUCCAUCUAUCCAAAGGGGCACAAGGACACUUUUAGGGCUGAUGGAUGUGUUCACUGUCUUGACUGCUAUGAUGGUUUUAUGGGUGUGUACAUGUGUUAGAACUGGUAAAGUGGUAUACUUUAAAUGUGUGCAUGUGAGUGUACCUUAAUUAUAUUUCAAUAAAGUUGGAAAAAAGGAAGGUAAAUAACAGUAGGUCAAAACUGAUAACACCCCACAUUAUCCAUGGACAAGACAAUGGAUAAGCUGUGGAAUAUCCAUACAAUGGAAUACUGCUCAGCAGUAGAAAGGAACAAAUUGCUCAAAUAUACGACAACAUGGACCAUCUCACACAUGAAUGCUGAUCAAAAGACGUCAGAUGCGACAAUCAUUCUGUACAGUUCCAUUUAUAUACACUUCAAAAACAGAGAAAACAGGCCUGGCAUGGUGGCUUAUGCCUAUAAUUCUAGCACUUUGGGAGGCCAAGGCAGGUGGAUCACCCGAGGUCAGGAGUUCAAGGCCAGCCUGACCAACAUGGUGAAACUCUGUCUCUACUAAAAAUACAAAAAUUAGCUGGGUGUGGUGGCGCACGCCUGUAAUCCCAGCUACUCAGGAGGCUGAGGCAAGAGAAUUGCUUGAACCUGGGAGGCAGAGGUUGCAGUGAGCCGAGAUCACGCCAUUGCACUCCAGUCUGGGCAACAAGAGCAAAACUCCAGCUCAAAACAAACAAACAAACCAGAGAAAACAGAGCUAUGGUGUUUAUGAGUAUGUGCUCAGGUGGUAAAACUAUAAAGAAAAACAAGAACACAAUGAUCAUUAAGUCCUCCCUAGGGAAGGAGGAAGGGGUGGUCUCUGGGAGGGAAGAUGAUGGGGCUUCUGGGGAGCUGGCAGAUUUCUUGACCUGGGUGGUUACGUGGAUGUGUGCUUGAUAAUAAACCAUUGAGCUGUACGUUUUGUUUUGUGUGCAUUUCUGAAUAUAUUUUACAUUGUGUAAUUUAAAAUGGAGCAACAUAUAUAUACAUGCUUGUAUGGAAAGGUACAAAAAA